AUCGCUUUUAUCAAAUUCAGUAUAUAAAUAAAUUUAUAGCAAAUUUGUGCUGAAUAAACAAACAAAUGUUUCUAAACGAUAAAAGUAAUAAGUAAUGAAAUAAUACGAAGUUUCACUUAUAACAAGUUGGUUCAUAAUUGUUGUUCUUAUUAAGUAAAAAAAAAAAAUGUACUUGGUGGCAUUGAAUCAGCAAUCGGAGUAAUUGUAUCAAUUGCAUCAUUUGUUAUGGCCGGAAAAGCAAAUUUAAGCUUAUCCUUGACACCAUAAUGGGCCGGACUUAUUAUAAAGAUGUAUGUGCAGGAUUUAUUUUCACAACUAAAGAGGACUCCGAAGAAGUAUUUAUCAAAUUGUUAUGGCCACCUGUUUAGUAUUUUUAUUGCCUUCAAAUAUUUUGGAAACAGAGUUUAGUGUGACAUUUGAUAAAUUUACUUUGAAGUUGAUAAAACUUUUAAAAAUUUCACAAAAAGUUUAUGAAGAUAGUUUUGAGAAAGUAUUAGUUAUGUACUUUGACAAAGUAUGGCGACCAAUAGACGACAAAAAUGAUUAUAAGAAAGCAACAUUUAUUAUCAACUGCAAAAUUAUGUUGAUGAUUAACAUCUUCGUUUUAGUCUCCAUUGAUCCCAGCAAGAGAUCUUUUCCUGCAAAAAAAUUUGGUGAUUUGAUUUUUCAAUAAGACGUAGGUAUUGAUGAGAUGUUCAUUAAUAAACUUGAGGUUAUCAUCAAAGCGUACGCAGCCUCGUGUAAGUCUGCUAAAACUUGUAUCUAACCAUUCCUUGUAAACUUUGGAAAUAAAAUACACAAAUUAACAAAUGAUAAUAUUCUAGAAAAAAGUUGUUUUUCAAUUCUGCUUCGGAAAACGAAAGGUUAUUCAAUGUUUACAAUAGAUGAUGUAGAAUUAGAAAUCAAAUGGCCUGAAGGACUUUCUGAUCCAAAAUCAAGAUACAUCGAUAUUCGGAAAAGAAAACCUACGUCAAACAAAUUGUAUGAAAAAAUCAAUGAAAAUGUAUUUAUCAAUGAGUUCGUUAAAAAAAUUGACGUUACGUUAACAACUUUAACUUAUCUCAGACAGUUAUUGCAACCAGAAAACUGCUAUUCAGAAUCUGUAAGAAGACUUAUAGUAAAUAUUUUAUUGUUGCCGGCUUUUCAAUUUAAUGAUAGGUUUAACUUUUCGCUUAUUACCGAGUUUAAUAUAACAGAUGAGUCCUGCACCAGCAAAAGAAUUAGUAACGGACCAUUUGAUUAUUUUUUACUUGGAAAAAAGCAACAUCUAACAACUUUAAUUUUUGAUCAAUCAAAUAAAAACCUCCAAACUGAUGAAGAAACUGAAUUAAUAUAUGAGACAACCAUUAUCGAAGCGAAAAUGGACUUUGAAAUAAAGGACUUACCUAAAGCAUUGGCUACGCUGAUAGCCCAAAUGUUUCAUGUAUCAUGUGGUUCCAUCUCGCAAGAGAUCUCAUGACGGUUUCAAUGCCAAUACAACUCUGCGCAUCACAGCGUUAAAGGAAUCUUGUUGACUCGUCAUCACUUCAUGUUUUUUUCCCUCAGUGAAGAAAAAAAUUUCUAUGAUUUACCUACACUUCAUUUUUAUGGUAAUCACUCUAUAAACAUCUUAACGAAAAAAAGUGUUCGAAGCAGUGGUCUUGAUCAAAAUGAAGAGAUAAAAAAAACCGAAGUAGAACAUAUUUUGCAAGUUUUGCAUUGCUUUGCAAUGUUUGAUUAUGAAUAA